rnacentral:rRNA from 1 species
AGCGUAGACGGCAAGGCAAGUCUGAUGUGAAACCCAGGGCUUAACCCUGGGACUGCAUUGGAAACUGUCUGGCUCGAGUGCCGGAGAGGUAAGCGGAAUUCCUAGUGUAGCGGUGAAAUGCGUAGAUAUUAGGAAGAACACCAGUGGCGAAGGCGGCUUACUGCGGUAACUGACGUUGAGGCUCGAAAGCGUGGGGAGCAAACA